CCGGGAGGCAGCAGUGGGGAAUAUUGCACAAUGGGCGAAAGCCUGAUGCAGCGACGCCGCGUGAGGGAUGACGGCCUUCGGGUUGUAAACCUCUUUCAGCAGGGAAGAAGCGAAAGUGACGGUACCUGCAGAAGAAGCGCCGGCUAACUACGUGCCAGCAGCCGCGGUAAUACGUAGGGCGCAAGCGUUGUCCGGAAUUAUUGGGCGUAAAGAGCUCGUAGGCGGCUUGUCGCGUCGGAUGUGAAAGCCCGGGGCUUAACCCCGGGUCUGCAUUCGAUACGGGCAGGCUAGAGUUCGGUAGGGGAGAUCGGAAUUCCUGGUGUAGCGGUGAAAUGCGCAGAUAUCAGGAGGAACACCGGUGGCGAAGGCGGAUCUCUGGGCCGAUACUGACGCUGAGGAGCGAAAGCGUGGGGAGCGAACAGGAUUAGAUACCCUGGUAGUCCACGCCGUAAACGUUGGGCACUAGGUGUGGGCGACAUUCCACGUCGUCCAUGCCGCAGCUACCUGCUUAAGUGCCCCGCCGGGGAGACGGCGCAAGCAU
rnacentral:rRNA from 1 species